UGAAAUGCUCCUGUCCCUACCUCCUUCCCGAGCCCCAUCCCUGCAGAAGGCAACUGCUGGGUUUCCAAUUCUUUUCCAAGUUCAUUUUGUUUAUCCUGCUCCGCAAUCCCCUGAGCCAGAAGUGGAGGCUUACAUUCUCAAACCCUGAGUGUCUAGCCUUUUCCCUGUUGGAUUCUUAGUUUCUUGUGCUAUGCCUAGUGGCACCCAGGCUGGGGAGGACAUGGCCCCUGUCUGGGUUUUUAUAAAUGUCUUACUCAAGCUCAAACCGCCAGCUGGUGAAAUCAACCAUGUCUCUGACUUGAUUAGCAAGUGUUAGGCUUCAAGCAGGAGGGAGGUCUGUAAUGUGAAACAACUUCUUGCUGUUCUUUUUUUCCUCUCCCAUUGUUGUAAAUAACUUUUAAUGGCCUAACCCCAGAUUUGUACCUUUUUUUUUUUUUUUCCUAACUGCUGAAACCAUUCUUCUACCCGGAUUGACUGUAACAUUUGGAAAACGAAUAAAUGUUGUCCCUUUUUUAAAAAAAUAAGUCAUUCUGUUGCUACGUUGCUUUAGCAGAGUAGUUAAGUUUUCCCUGGAUCCCAUGAACUACCUAGUCUCAGGUUCUAGGCUUCAUUAACCAUGUCAAGGUUAAUUGACACUGUUGGUCUUCGUAUGAGGUUGCUAUCCCCUUCAGCUCAUUCAGUCCUUCCCCUAACUCUUCCAUAGGAGUCCCUGACCUCAGCCCAAUGGUUGGCUAUGAGUAUCUAUAUCUGUCUCAGUAUAGGUAGGAAAGGGUGGGGCAAGGGAAGGGGGCAGAAUCAGGUAUGGGAGAAGACAAGCAAGAAGCCCAGAGGGCUAGGAGAAUGAAUGGAAAUAUGCAACUUCAAGGAGUUGGGGGUGAACCUUUCAAAAGUCCCAGAUAACUGGGGUGUGAGAGGCUUCCAGGACUCAAUGGGUAUGACCUUAGCUGAAAUGCCCAAAUGUAGAAACAAAAUGUCUAUCCAGUAAACAGACAGGGCUCUCAGUGAAGUAAUGGGGUCACCAAGCUAGCUUCAAAAUUUUUGACCCAUAAUUCUUCCUGACUAAAAGAAAUACUGAGAUAAAAAUACAGCAAAGAUUACAGGAAAGGCCAUCCAAUGACACCUUCACCUUGGGAUCCAUCCCCUUGGUGGACACCAAACCCUGACACUAUUACUGAUGCCCAGCCUAGCAUAGCUGUCCUUUCCAAUUUUUAACCCCUUGAUCUUUUGUUGUAUUUUUGCUUUAGCUAGAACUUCACACUGUAUUGAGUAGACAGGGAGUAGGUAGCCUUGCCUUGUCCCUGAUUUAAGUGGAAUUGCUCUACGUUUCCAUUCAAUUUGAUGUUGGCUAUUGGCUUGCUGUUUUUGGCUUUUCUUCUGUUUAAGUAUGUGCCUUGUAUCUUUGAUCUCUCCAAGACUUUUAACCUGAUAAGGUGUUAGAUUUCACCAUCUAAUGAGAUGAUCAUAUGAUUUUUUUAUCUGUAUUUUUUGUUUGUUUGUUUGUUUAUAUAGUGGAUUACAUUGAUAGAUUUAGAACCAUCACUACUUGAAGACUACUUGAUCAAGGGUAAAUCAUUUUGAUGUGAUGUUUUUAAUGUGAUGUUAGAUUUGAUUUGCAAAAAUUGUAUUGAGUACUGUUGUGUCAAUGUUUCUAAAGGAAACUGGUCUGAAGUUGUCUUUCUUUCUUUCUUGAGUCCCCCUCCCUCCACUAGAAGUCCCACCUGGCUACUGGAACUGUCCUUUUCACUCUCUGCAUUUGCCCAUUUGCCGCUGCUUGAAGUCUCAGCUAGGGUCACCCCUAUAAACUAGAGGAAGUCUUCUCAGUCACAGAUCUCCAGCUAGCCUCAUAAGUGCCCCCCAUCAAUUUCCAUUUUUAAUCCCAGCCCCCUGUCCACACCUGAACCCCAUUUAUCAUUUCUAUAUAGGAGUGCUAUUUGAUUUUUGUGAGUUAAUUUUGUAUCCAGCUACUUUGCAGAAAGUGUUUAUCAGGUGUAGGAAUUCCCUGAUAGAUGUUUAGGGUCAUUUAUGUAUGCUGUUUUAUCACCUUCAAAUAAUAAUACUCUGAUUUCUUUCUCUUCCAUUUAUAUAGCCUUUGGUUUUCUUCAGUUGUCAUACUGCUCUAGUUCAAACUUCAAAUAUUAUAGUGAAUAGAGAGAGUGGACAGCCUUGUCUUAUUACUGCUUUUACUGGAAAUGCUUUGAAUUUCUCUCCAUUUAACUGGAUGUUGGCUAUAUCUUGCUGUUAAUUCCCUUCAUUAUGCUUAGAUAUGUCCCUUGAAUUCCUUGUAUCCCUUGUAUCCCUAAUCUCUUCAGGACCUUUAUCGUGAAGGAAGGUUGGAUUUUGGCAAAGGCGUUUUCUGCAUCUAUUGAGAUGAUUAAGUAGUUUUUUUUUUCAGUUUGUAUUGUGGAUUACAUAUGUCGAUAUUUGCAUGUUGAAGCAUCACCACAUCACUAGGAAAAAGCCUCUUUGAUUGUGGUGGAUGAUCUUUCUGAUGUGUUCUUGGAUUCCAUUGCAAGUAUUUUAUUGAGUAGUUUUGCAUCUAUGUUCAUAAGAGAAAUUGUUCAUAAAGGCAGUUCCUUUUCUUUGUUGGGUCUUUAUGAGGUUUUGGUAUUAACUAUACUAUGGCUUCAUAAAAUGAAUUGGAUAAUGUUCCUUCACAGUCUAUUCCAUGCAAUAAUUUGAGGAGCAGUGGCAUUAACUCUUUAUUGACUGUCUGCUAGAAUAUUGCACUAAAACCUUCUGACCCUGAACAUGUUGGUGACUUUUAUUGACUGUUCUAAUUUACGAGGGGGAUAUAGCCUUCUUUAAAUUACGUAUUUUAUCUUGAUUUAAGUUUGGUAAGUGGUACAUAUCAAGGAAAUUAUCCAUUUCUUUUACAUUUUCCAAUUUGGUGGAGUACAGGUUUUUAAAGUAUAGCCUUAUGUUUUCUGGACUUCCUUGGUUUCUGUUGUUAUGUACCCUUUUUUGUUUCUGCUUUUGUCGAUUUGCAUUUUCUCACUCUACCUUUGAGUUAAUUUGGAUCAGGAUUUGUUGAUCUUAUUGAUUUUCUCAAAGAACCAAUUCUUUGCUUCAUUAAUUAUUUGUAAAAUUUUCUUUGUUUCUAUUUUAUUGGUUUUGGCACUCAGUUUUUUGCCAUCUACUGAUUUGGGGUGUUGUUUCUUCUUUUUCUUAAGCUUCCAGGUAUGCUACUAAGUUCUUUCUAUAAGAUAUUUUCUAUUUUUUAAAUGUUGACCCUUAGCACUAUGCACUUGCCUCUUAAAACAGCUUUUAUUGUUUCCCAUAAGUUCAAGUUCAAUGUGUAUUAGUUUUCAGUCAAUUUUAGAAAAUCUUAAUUUCUUUCUUAAUUUCUGUCUCUACCUAUUUUUGGUUCAGUGGAGAGUUCUUCAGUUUUUAUAAGUUUUUAAAAUUUAUGUGUUUAUUUCUUGUUGUCAAUAUCUGUUUUUAAUCCAUGGUGAUCUCGUAGGAAUUAUUUCAAUUUUUUUGUAUCUCUUGAGACUUGCUUCAUGUUUGAGUAUAUAGUGAAUUUUGGAGAAAGUUUUAUGAAGUGCAGAAAGGAAUGCAUAUUCAUUUUUGUUUGGUG
rnacentral:lncRNA from 1 species